UAGGGAAUCUUCCACAAUGGGCGCAAGCCUGAUGGAGCAACACCGCGUGAGUGAAGAAGGGCUUCGGCUCGUAAAGCUCUGUUGUUAAAGAAGAACACGUAUGAGAGUAACUGUUCAUACGUUGACGGUAUUUAACCAGAAAGUCACGGCUAACUACGUGCCAA
rnacentral:rRNA from 1 species